rnacentral:lncRNA from 1 species
GAGGCCUGUGGCAGCAUAGGCCCAGCAUACAUGGGACAGACAGACGACAGAUGGCAGUCGCUCUGACUCGCUUGGUCUUGCCUAUGAGCCUGGGGCCUAGGCCAGGGCUAGUGUGUGCAGGUGAGGGUCUCGGAGAAAGCCAGAGACAUGGCCCACCCUGCACCUGCCAGAGCGUCCUCCCCUGACACCUGCAAAGUCCCCAGGACAGUGCGUCUCACUCUUAGCCAAGUGCCCAGGGCCUAGGGCUGCAGUGCCCAGGGCAGUCUGGAUGUGGGUGGCUGCUGAUGGGACCCUAAGUUAAAGCUGAGUCUAAGCCUGUCCCACCUAGGGCUUCAGUCCCCUGCCUGACCCCCAACCCCUGGCCUCCAGCCUGGAAUGGCCUUGGGCAGCCCCAGGAGGCAUCUGGGAGUGGCCUCAGGGGCCCUGCCCGCUCAGGGCUCUCUGCUGGGACCCUCAGAAAGGGACAAGGCGCCUUGUCAGAAGUGGCCAAGAGCUGUCCACUCAGCAAUGACUCGAGUUUCCAGGCAGGGGGCCAGAAGGUCGCGGUCAUGCUCCUCCUGAGGCCUGGGCUCUGGCCAAGCGUCAGCAGCAGAAAUGGUUGGGUCGGUUUUAUUUUAAACAAAAAAGAACUUUGAGUGGAAACAUGUGUCCUCCCCCCAUCCUUCUCCAUCUCACCCUCCCAUGUUCUCUUUGGCGCCGCCCUUUCCUCCCCUCCCUCUUUCUUGAUUUAUCUGUCACUCUCCCCAUCUCCUCCCGGCUGGCAGGAGUCUGCAGUGGUGGGAGGCUGAGGACAUGGCCUGGACCCCUGCCACCAGCCCCCAGCCUGCUCCUGGGGGCCUGGGGUCUGCGCAGCUCCAGGGCCACACUCCUCUGCCCUCUGGGUCUGUUUCCUGUACUAGGCACCUCGGAUACUAAAGCUCUUCACCUUAAAAUAAGUUUUAAGAGACGGCCCAGGCCAAGGCCAAAUCUCAGCGGUACACCACCUGCUUCACUACUCAGG